ACUCGCACACACAGUCGCUCACCCGCGCCGGGCGCCCGCCCGCCGGCCGCUCGGGCUACGCGCAGCGCGCGGGCUGAGCCGACAUAGAGGAAGCCGGCGAGGGCGGAGGCGGCGGCGGCGGCGGAGGAGGAGGAGGUCGCGGCUGCAGGCGCCGCUGGAGCUGCCGCCGGAGCUGCUGCGGCGAGCGCCGCUGGAGGAGCCGGGACCCGGGCCGGAGUCCGAGCAGGAGUCGGGGCCGCAGCCGGAGCGCGAGCGGAGGCCGGGGCCGCCCGCGGCGCCGCCGCUGUCCCGGCGGGAGCCCUCGCCGGGCUCGGGAGUGCGGGGAGCGCGCAGGUAGAUGAAACUCAAGAGAAAAGGUGUGGAUAAAUGAAACUAGCCCAUGAUGAACCUGUUUUCUCCGUGACCACAAUAUUAACCAGGAUGAAUGGCGGUGGCAGUGGGCCUGCAUCACAGGUUGCAGCAGAUGUUCUCAAUAUUUCUAUUAAAAUUUCCUUAUUUCCAUAUGCAAGAGGAGCCCCAGAGCUGCAUCCUUAUGGUAGCUACCAUGCCGUGAUGUAAGCUGCCAUUCACUGGGGAGCUUUGGCAAUAGAAUUGGCUAGAUCAGGAAGCCUAUGUCAACUAUGGAACAACAACUUGCAGCUCAUCUCUAUUGAUGAUACACUGCCUCUAGGACUGGGACAGAUAGCCACUGAGUACCUGCUUCAAAUCACCCUGCACGUUUUCUCUUUGGAAAGAUAAGCACUGGAGAACCAUCUCGUUACCUUCAGCAGAAAUGGAAACAAAUCAAGACAUUAAGAAUGCCGCAGUGGACAGCAGUUAUGCAAGGUUCAGCAGAGGAAGUUUUCAAGAUGGUGUGCCUCACUAGCCAGAAAUCAGAAAAGAUCGAAGCUAGCCUUUUCAUCUCAGCUGCUCCUUAAAUCAGUGCAACCCCUCCAAAUUAAUGUGAAUUGAAACUUGCAUUGCUUUUCAACUUAAUUGAAUACUUACUAUAUGUGAACCACUGCACAAAAUAGGGGAAGAAGAUGUGGGAGACAAAGAUGUGGAGCCUGUCUUCAAUAAAUUUACAGUUAGUUUCAGGGUACAUUGUUUUUCUUCUGCUGUUAAUUAGGUGUAUCCCCAAGACAAUAAAUACAUGAAUGGAAAAGUAUAUUCUGUGUUUUAAGUCUCUUUAAUAAAAAACAAAACAAAAUCCAAAAAAACUCCUAACAUGGCAACUCAGGACAUUUUAAUCCUUUUUUUUGUUGUUGGGCUUCUGAUAGGAUCCAUUUUAUUGAUUCCAUAAAUAUUUAGUAGACUUUAGACAUAUUAAUACAUUGUAGUUUGAGUUAAUUUGCAUUAAAUUCUGUUUUUUUCCCCUUAGGUAUAGAUUGUCUGUUGGAAAAAUAUAUUGCUUGUGGAUUUCUUGGGGAGUGGGAAGGUGAAUUAUACCUGUUGUCUCUACAGUCCACUACCUUCCACACCCUAGGGCAGUGGUCCCCAACCUUCUUGGCACCAGGGAUCAGUUUCCUGGAAGACAAUUUUUCUGUGGAUGGUGUGGGGAUGGUUUUGGGAUGGAACUGUUCCACCUCAGAUCAUCAGGCAUUAGUUAGGCUCUCAUAACGAGUGCGCAGCCUAGAUCCCUCACAUGCACAGUUCACAGUAGGGUUUGCGCUGCUAUGAGAAUCUAAGGCUGCCACUGAUCUGACAGGAGGCAGAACUCAGGUGGCAAUGCUUACUGGCCCACUGCUCACCUCUUGCUGUGCGGCCUGGUUCCUAAUAGGCCAUGGACCCCCACAGACGGGUACUAGUCUGCAGCCUGUGGACCCCAGCCCUAGGGGCCUGCCAUUCUGAGUGAGUUAUUAGCAUGAAGAAGAGGAAGAUCUGGAUCAAACGUGGGUGAUGGUACUCAGAGACCCAAGAUAGGAUAGGGAUGGAACAAAAUCCAUCUGGGCAACGGCUCUAUGAAAAUUUGGCUAAGUAAUUAUUUCAGUAUUCAUUGUAUUCAUUGUCCUUCGUGUUCCAUAAGUUAAAUGACUGUCUAAUUUUUCCAAAAAUUUAUUUCUGACUUGAGAAUAAGUGUGUCAUGAUUUUCCCAGUGUAAAGACACUGAUAUAACUGUAGAUACCAGACAUUUUAUGUAGUGUCUAUGACACAUUUUAGUAUGUAUGAGCCAACAAUAGACAUGUCUUUGUCUUGAGGAGUGUCCAUCUGAAUUGAAAAUGUGUCAGCUUUUUUUUAACAUCAUCAACAGACUUCUUAAUUAAGCUGCCAAUACAUACUGCCAAUAGCACUGUGUGCUGUCUGAGAAAUGCAUUGUGUAAGUGCUAUUUCCAUCUUAUUAAAUAAACAAUGUUGCUCUGUAUAAACUGGAUUUAAAGUGUUCUUUGAAUGAGGCAUUAUAUUGCUCCAUAAAUAAUGUGAUGUGAAUUCUCAUAUGAUCCCUUUUAACUUAAUUUCUAAAAAAAUAUUAUUUGCUCCUCAGUAAGGAAUAGCUCUAAUUGGACUGGUAACUUUAGUGAUAUGAUUUGUCUGUAACAGGCUGAAUCGCCCCACUCCCAAACUCCUGGUCGUGAUACUGGAUAUUUGUUAUGCCACUUUUAGUUUGCAUGAGGUAUCUUCCAGGAAGUAUUAGUUAUUAACUUGUGUUCUACUAAACUGUAGAUAUUUAUUUCCUGUUCUGGAAGAUUUCUUGGAGUGUCCAUCUGUGCAUUCCUGGUGCCUAGUGUAGUCUUGCUAAUGGAAUAGCACCUUUAUUGGUGCUACUUAGGGGUUGGUAGCUUACAAUCAAUCUACUUGGAACGUAUCCAAAUAAACUGGAUAUUUUUAUACA
rnacentral:lncRNA from 1 species